CAGUAGCCGCGGGAAUACGUAGGGCGCAAGCGUUGUCCGGAAUUAUUGGGCGUAAAGAGCUCGUAGGCGGUCUGUCGCGUCUGGUGUGAAAUCCCGAGGCUCAACCUCGGGCUUGCAUCGGGUACGGGCAGACUAGAGUGCGGUAGGGGAGACUGGAAUUCCUGGUGUAGCGGUGGAAUGCGCAGAUAUCAGGAGGAACACCGAUGGCGAAGGCAGGUCUCUGGGCCGCAACUGACGCUGAGGAGCGAAAGCAUGGGGAGCGAACAGGAUUAGAGACCCCUGUAGUCCCUGUCUCUUAUAC
rnacentral:rRNA from 1 species